rnacentral:rRNA from 1 species
UACGUAGGGUGCGAGCGUUAAUCGGAAUUACUGGGCGUAAAGCGUGCGCAGGCGGCUUUGCAAGACAGAUGUGAAAUCCCCGGGCUCAACCUGGGAACUGCAUUUGUGACAGCAAGGCUAGAGUACGGCAGAGGGGGAUGGAAUUCCGCGUGUAGCAGUGAAAUGCGUAGAUAUGCGGAGGAACACCAAUGGCGAAGGCAAUCCCCUGGGCCUGUACUGACGCUCAUGCACGAAAGCGUGGGGAGCAAACAGG